AGUAAUAUUAUGUGUAGAUUUUUGCUGGAGACCGGAGACUCACGUCGCUGAUGGUCAGUGGCAGACAGGUUCUGUGAUGGAUCCUUAUCUGUAAAUAGAGAUGGAGUUGACCUUGGUCGACGAUGAUCAUAUAUGACCCCGAAAAUCGAUAGUAGUGUUCACUGAGACGACUUGUUUGGCCUACGAAAAUUUGAUUGGCUAUUGUCAUCUCCAUUCUCAAUGCCAAUCAAAUUUUCGUAAUUUAAGUGGGGAAUGAUGUAACAAGUACGCUUUUGCAUUCAUAAUGUUUCACUGUAAAAAUGUUAUUAUAUAUGUUUUUAUAUUUUCGUCAUUAAAAUGCAUGUAAAUUCGUUUUCUAAAUUUAUUCAUAUAUCUAAUCACCGCUACACAAGAUCAAUCAUUUCUGCUUCUAAGAGUUGCAUCUGACAUACAGUCUAUUUCUGAGUUCCCAACUACCAGUUACACGCGCUAAACUUCUGAGACCCAAGCCAACCGCGCGUCAUGAUGCUAAACGAAAUUAUCCAUUUAGCGGGCAACAACCUGCGAAGGCUUCCUUUGAAGAUGCAUUGACCUUUGCAUUUCGGCUCUGAGCAAUCCGUCCAAACUACGGAGAGAAACUUGACUGGGGGGAAUUGAAUAGACUGACAGAAAGAGAUGUCGCGAUGUCACCUAAAUUACGUGUGCACAAUUGCGAGCAGUUAAUGAUCGGGAAUCUACCUUCGGGCAGAUUCGCGACCUUCAGAGAUGAUGACCCUGAAAUCGCGACUAUCUGAGGCUUCCUUCAAUUUCAAUCAGCCACUUCGAUUCGAUCCGUGGAAGAGGCAAAAGUGGUCGGAAAUUUUGUGCCGCGUCGUGGUGUAAUUUGGAAGGUAGUGACGAUAUGGUGGCCCUAGUUAGAUAGUAAUUAAUUACCUUUCCCUUUAGAUAGAAUUCGACAUAGCGAAAUUGUAGUCGAUUAAGUGGCGGCAAAGUGCGUGAAUUGAGUGCGUUUAAGGUUCGUGGCAGCCGGGCAUUUGCCGUUACACCACCAUCCCACUAGAGACCGCUUUUGACCCCAUCGAUCGGCAUCGAAGGUCCCGGGGCACACGUGGCCGGAAGAGGGC